rfam:Paenisporosarcina sp. HGH0030 genomic scaffold acAqH-supercont1.1, whole genome shotgun sequence.
UUGUUAGGAAGGAAGGCUAAGAGCCCGACAUCGUGUCGGAACGCCUUCAUGAUCAACAUCCGAUUGA